AUUGAACGCUGGCGGCAUGCUUUACACAUGCAAGUCGGACGAGUGGCGAACGGGUGAGUAAUAUAUCGGAACGUACCGAGUAAUGGGGGAUAACUAAUCGAAACAUUAGCUAAUACCGCAUAUUAUUCGAGCGGCCGCUAUGUGAUUAGCUAGUUGGUGGGGUAACGGCCUACAAAGGCGACGAUCAUUAGCGGGUCUGAGAGGAUGAUCCGCCACACUGGAACUGAGACACGGCCCAGACUCCGACGGGAGGCAGCAGUGGGGAAUUUUGGACAAUGGGCGCAAGCCUGAUCCAGCCAUGCCGCGUGUAUGAAGAAGGCCUUCGGGUUGUAAAGGACUUUUGGCAGGGAAGCGGUACCUGAAGAAGAAGCACCGGCUAACUACGUGCCAGCAGCCGCGGUAAUUC
rnacentral:rRNA from 1 species